rnacentral:rRNA from 1 species
GAUCAUGGCUCAGGACGAACGCUGGCGGCGUGCCUAGUACAUGCAAGUAGAACGCUGAAGGAGGAGCUUGCUUCUCCGGAUUAGUUGCGAACGGGUGAGUAACGCGUAGGUAACCUGCCUGGUAGCGGGGGAUAACUAUUGGAAACGAUAGCUAAUACCGCAUAACAGUAGAUAUUGCAUGAUAUCUGCUUGAAAGGUGCAAAUGCAUCACUACCAGAUGG